rnacentral:rRNA from 1 species
GGACGAACGCUGGUGGCGUGCUUAACACAUGCAAGUCGAACGGAAAGGCCCUGCUUUUGUGGGGUGCUCGAGUGGCGAACGGGUGAGUAACACGUGAGUAACCUGCCCUUGACUUUGGGAUAACUUCAGGAAACUGGGGCUAAUACCGGAUAGGAGCUCCUGCUGCAUGGUGGGGGUUGGAAAGUUUCGGCGGUUGGGGAUGGACUCGCGGCUUAUCAGCUUGUUGGUGGGGUAGUGGCUUACCAAGGCUUUGACGGGUAGCCGGCCUGAGAGGGUGACCGGCCACAUUGGGACUGAGAUACGGCCCAGACUCCUACGGGAGGCAGCAGUGGGGAAUAUUGCACAAUGGGCGGAAGCCUGAUGCAGCAACGCCGCGUGCGGGAUGACGGCCUUCGGGUUGUAAACCGCUUUCGCCUGUGACGAAGCGUGAGUGACGGUAAUGGGUAAAGAAGCACCGGCUAACUACGUG